rnacentral:rRNA from 1 species
UACAGAGGGUGCGAGCGUUAAUCGGAAUUACUGGGCGUAAAGCGUGCGCAGACGGUCAUGUAAGUCGGGUGUGAAAGCCCCGGGCUCAACCUGGGAAUUGCAUUCGAGACUGCAUGGCUAGGGUGCGGAAGAGGGAAGCGGAAUUUCCGGUGUAGCGGUGAAAUGCGUAGAUAUCGGAAGGAACACCAGUGGCGAAAGCGGGUCUCUGGGCCGUAACUGACGCUGAGGAGCGAAAGCGUGGGGAGCGAACAGG